GGUUGUAGCUCAGUGGUAGAGUGCUUACCUAGCAUGUGUGAGGCUCUGGGUUUAAUUCUCAGCAUCA
rnacentral:tRNA from 1 species